CCCAUCACCACCGCCAAGAAACGCUCACUCGACAUGGCAGACUCUGCGUGUAGCAGCGCCCCAGGCUCAGGGCCGAGCUCCCCAAAUAACAGCUCCAACAACAUCCCCAACGAGAACGGCAUCACUGUGUCGGUCUGCAACAACACAGAGGCGUCUCUGGCCCAGAGGCUGUGCAGCGGUGCUGAGCGGG